rnacentral:rRNA from 1 species
GCUAGCGGCAAGCUUAAUACAUGCAAGUCGAGGGGCAGCAUGACUGUAGCAAUACAGUUGAUGGCGACCGGCAAACGGGUGCGGAACACGUACAGAACCUUCCUUCGAGCGGGGAAUAGCCCAGAGAAAUUUGGAUUAAUACCCCAUAGCAUAACGGAGUGGCAUCACUUUGUUAUUAAAGAUUUAUCACUUGAAGAUGGCUGUGCGGCUGAUUAGGUAGUUGGCGGGGUAACGGCCCACCAAGCCUGCGAUCAGUAACUGGUGUGAGAGCACGACCAGUCACACGGGCACUGAGACACGGGCCCGACUCCUACGGGAGGCAGCAGUAAGGAAUAUUGGUCAAUGGACGAAAGUCUGAACCAGCCAUGCCGCGUGGAGGAUGAAGGUCCUCUGGAUUGUAAACUUCUUUUAUAUGGGACGAAAAAAGGCUUUUCUAAGUCGUCUGACGGUACCAUAUGAAUAAGCACCGGCUAGCUCCGUGCCAGCAGCCGCGGUAAUACGGAGGGUGCAAGCGUUAUCCGGAUUCACUGGGUUUAAAGGGUGCGUAGGUGGGUUGGUAAGUCAGUGGUGAAAUCUCCGAGCUUAACUUGGAAACUGCCAUUGAUACUAUCAGUCUUGAAUAUUGUGGAGGUUAGCGGAAUAUGUCAUGUAGCGGUGAAAUGCUUAGAUAUGACAUAGAACACCAAUUGCGAAGGCAGCUGGCUACACAUAUAUUGACACUGAGGCACGAAAGCGUGGGGAUCAAACAGGAUUAGAUACCCUGGUAGUCCACGCCCUAAACUAUGGAUACUCGACAUACGCGAUAAACUGUGUGUGUCUGA